UGCGAGAGUGGAUUUGUACAAUUCGUCGCUGGCCAGUAGUACAGUUAUGAUGUGUUCCAAAGACAAUGACAAGUUAUUUUUGUUGAUUGGAUUUUGUAUAGCAAUAGGCCUCCCAUUGCUAUUUGUUGGAUAUCUGCUGUUGAAAAGAAAAUGUUUCAAAAGCAAAGAUAACAUGGAUGAUGAACUGACA